AAAGCCUGACGCAAGCAACGCCGCGUGAAGGAUGAAGGCUCUCGAGUCGUAAACUUCUGGUCUGGGGGAAAGAUGAUGACGGUACCCCCAAAGCAAGCCCGGCUAAUCCGUGCCAGCAGCCGCGGUAAUACGGAAGGGGCAAGCGUUGUUCGGAAUUAUUGGGCGUAAAGGGCGUGUAGGCGGCUUCGCAGGUCUGUGGUGAAAGCAUACAGCUCAACUGUAUUGAGCCAUGGAAACGGCGGAGCUUGAGGCUGGGAGGGGCUGGUGGAAUUCCCUGUGUAGCGGUGAAAUGCGUAGAGAUGGGGGAGAACACUCGUGGCGAAGGCGGCCAGCUGGACCAGUUCUGACGCUGAGACGCGAAAGCGUGGGGAGCAAACAGGAUUAGAUACCCUGGUAGUCCACGCCGUAAACGAUGGGCACUAGGUGUCGGCGGUUCAUAAUCCGUCGGUGCCGGCGCUAACGCAGUAAGUGCCCCGCCUGGGGAGUACGGUCGCAAGGCUG
rnacentral:rRNA from 1 species